AUUCCUUCUAAUCCUUAAAAAUUGGCCUCUUGGUGCAUUCUCCAGCCACGGGUUAUGGUGGCAACUAUUUCUUUCUAUAUACCCGUUGGCAUCCACUGGUUUAAAAAAGUUUUUUGUAUUGAUCUUAUCUUCCUCUAUAUAAAUGUGCAAAUCCAAGAAAUUAAUUUUAACUUCACUAAUACAGCUCGUUAAGUGAAUCCCCCAAUCAUUUGAGUUAAGAUACGUAAUGAAGUCAUCCAAUUGAUCAUGGUUGCCUGUCCAAAUAAAAAAUAUGUCAUCUAUGUAACAGCGAUAGGACACCAAGU